CCUCCAAAAUCACUCUGGUUUGUGACAACAGUAAACCAAUAGGAGAGUUUGAGAAUGGGAUAGGUUAUACAGACAGCAGUGGUAUUACAACAUAUACGGGGGAACUUUCUUCAAAAUAUUCUUGCGCGUUUCCAUCUUCAAGUUUUAGUGCUGGAAUUAUCAUCACUUCAAAAAAGACUACGGACGGGAAAGAAGAUCUUCAAAGAUCGUGAAGGAACAUCAAGAAGACAAGAGUGUUUUGUUUAGUAUUUCGCGCAUAACAAAGGUUGGCCCAUUUAUUCAAGACCUAAUUAGUUUUACGACCAUUUCUCCAAGAAUCCUUACGGGUUUGAGUUUCAAAUUAGUGAGUUUUUGAAGCCCUUUAAUAAACUGUGUUAAAACAC